AGCAGCAGCACCUCCGUUCUGAACGCUGACGGCUUCUACAGCUGGAGCAGCACACUGAGCCUCCACCCGGAGCAGUGGAGGAACAAGGUGGUGACCUGUGAGGCCUCCAAAGACAACCAACCUACUGUGACCCAGUAACAAAUGUUACAGUAUCAUCCCUCUUUAACAUCAAGCACGUAACAACGACACUGAAGAUGUCUUCGGCACAGGGAGGGUGGUAGUGUUCUUGAGACAUGUUGGUACGACAGCACUGCUCAGUGGAAUGUUGGAAAUGUCAGUGAAGACAUCAACCAGCUGUUCUGCACAUCCUCUGAGCACUCUGCUAGCUGGUCCGAUGGUGAAGCCCUCCGUGUCUCUGCUCCCUCCCUCCUCUCUGCAGCGCUCUGAGGGAACGGCCUCACUGCUCUGCCUGCUCUCGGCCUAUUCUCCACAGGGGGCGCUGCUGAGCUGGACCGUGGAUGGUGCUGAGGUGAACGAGGGGGUUCUGACCAGCACAGAAGAACAGAAGAAUGGUGACUACAGACGCAGCAGCACCCUGACCGCCAGCAAAGAACGCUGGGAAGAGGCUGAGGUGUUCGGCUGUACCGUCUCCCACCACGACACCACUCAGGUCGCCUCGUUCCGAAAGAGCCGCUGUGAAGUCCACUAGAAUUCAAGUGUACGCUUUAAACCAUGCUUAGCAGUCUGAGGUGAUGUCAGUGGUGUAGCUCUGCUGAAAUAAAGCUUCAAUGUGGAAAGCAGGUCUCCUUUUUCAUUAGUGAAGUGUCUUUGGCAGAGAUUUGGAACAGCACCUUUAACAGCAGGUCGAGUGCAGCGCUGUGUGUUGUGCUUGAGUGAGUUUAGCUGAAGAACCAUGAACAUCUGCUGAAAGUGGUGAUUUAUUCUGCAUCUUAGUGCAGUUCAUGCAAAUGUGUGUGUGUGUGUGUGUGUAUUUCACUCUUCAAUCUGCCUCUUUAUAUACAACCAGGUGAGGAGGAACACUUUCACGUCUUAUUUCUUUGAUUGGUCAGAAUUUGUAAACUAUAA